ACGAACGCUGGCGGCGUGCUUAACCCAUGCAAGUCGAACGGAAAGGCCCUGCUUUUGUGGGGUGCUCGAGUGGCGAACGGGUGAGUAACACGUGAGUAACCUGCCCUUGACUUUGGGAUAACUUCAGGAAACUGGGGCUAAUACCGGAUAGGAGCUCCUGCUGCAUGGUGGGGGUUGGAAAGUUUCGGCGGUUGGGGAUGGACUCGCGGCCUAUCAGCUUGUUGGUGGGGUAGUGGCUUACCAAGGCUUUGACGGGUAGCCGGCCUGAGAGGGUGACCGGCCACAUUGGGACUGAGAUACGGCCCAGACUCCUACGGGAGGCAGCAGUGGGGAAUAUUGCACAAUGGGCGGAAGCCUGAUGCAGCAACGCCGCGUGCGGGAUGACGGCCUUCGGGUUGUAAACCGCUUUCGCCUGUGACGAAGCGUGAGUGACGGUAAUGGGUAAAGAAGCACCGGCUAACUACGUG
rnacentral:rRNA from 1 species